rnacentral:rRNA from 1 species
UACGUAGGGACCGAGCGUUGUCCGGAAUCAUUGGGCGUAAAGAGCGUGUAGGCGGCUUGCUAAGUCUUGCGUGAAAUCUCGGGGCUCAACCCCGAGCGGUCGUGGGAAACUGGCAGACUAGAGUGCGGGAGAGGAGAAUGGAAUUCCUGGUGUAGCGGUGAAAUGCGCAGAUAUCAGGGAAGAACACCCGUGGCGAAAGGCGGUUCUCUGGAACGCAACUGAC